GUGUUCACUUUGGCAGCACAUACUCUAAAAUAAGAAUAAUACAGAGAAUGCCCCUGCACAAGGAUGACACACAAAUUGGUGAAGCAUCCCAUAUUUUU
rnacentral:snRNA from 1 species